rnacentral:rRNA from 1 species
GGCUCAGGACGAACGCUGGCGGCGUGCCUAAUACAUGCAAGUCGAACGGUCUUUCUAUGGAAGCUUGCUCCACUGAGAAGAUAGUGGCGAACGGGUGAGUAACACGUGGGUAACCUGCCCAUAAGAGGGGGGAGUAACAUCCGGAAACGGGUGCUAAUACCGCAUAGUUUCUUGAUCGCAUGAUUGGGAAAGGAAAGACGGCCUUUGUGCUGUCGCUUAUGGAUGGACCCGCGGCGUAUUAGUUAGUUGGUGAGGUAACGGCUCACCAAGACGAUGAUACGUAGCCGACCUGAGAGGGUGAUCGGCCACAUUGGGACUGAGACACGGCCCAAACUCCUACGGGAGGCAGCAGUAGGGAAUCUUCCGCAAUGGACGAAAGUCUGACGGAGCAACGCCGCGUGAGUGAAGAAAAGGUUUUCGGAUCGUAAAACUCUGUUGUCAGAGAAGAACAAGUUGGAGAGUAACUGCUCCAGCCUUGACGGUAUCUGACCAGAAAGCCACGGCUAACUACGUGCCAGCCGCAGC